rnacentral:ncRNA from 1 species
CAAUACUUUGUCUAUAUUGGGGAGUGGGACAGAAAUGAUAUUUUCGAAAAAUUUAUUUCGUCGUCCCGCCCCAACUUGCAUUGUCUGUAGAAAUUGGGAAUCCAAUUUCUCUUUGUUGGGGCCCCGCCGGCAAGGUUGACUAGAAUUGAAAAAAGCUUGUUACAAGCGUAUUUUCGUUCAGUCAACUACUGCCAAUAUAACUUCGUAGAGCAUGGAACAUUGAUUUAU